rnacentral:rRNA from 1 species
UGAGGGAAAGUUGCAAAGAACUUUGAAGAGAGAGUUCAAGAGUACGUGAAACUGCUCGGAGGCAAACGGGUGGGCCCUCGAAAUCCCGUCGCGAGGGGAUUCAGUCGAUGGGCGAGAGGACGGUCCGCGAUCCCCGGCCCGCGAGCGGCGGGGGCGCGAGGCCUGGUUCCGAGCCCGGAGACGCACUUCUCCUCGCGCAGUGGACGCCGCAGCCGGUCCGGUACGGCUAGAAGUUCCGGUCGUGAAACCGGUGGGAGAGCAGGCGAUCCGUCGCCGUUCCCCCGGCUCGCUGACGCGGCACCGGACCGAGGAAUAGGGGGACGCUCCACGCGUCCCGCCGCCCACCCGGUUCUCGGGCGGGACCGGUGAGCCCGGGUCAAUCGCGCGUGCUUCCGGAGGCGACCGUUCGUGGUCGUCCCGGCUCGCGACCACUCGGCGGGCUCCCGAGACCCGCAGCGGGGCAAGCGGCUGGCGGCGAGUAGGUCGGUCACCCACCCGACCCGUCUUGAAACACGGACCAAGGAGUCUGACGCGUGCGCGAGUCGCCGGGUCUUGAACAGGCCCGAGGGCGAAACUAACGUGAUCCGGUUGUCUACCUGACUCCGGGAGGCCGGGAUCCGGUCGCCCACUGGCGGCCGGCGCACCGGCGGGCUGUCCGGGUCUCCGAACCCCUAGGACGGACCCUGAGCGUGCGUGUUGGGACCCGAAAGAUGGUGAACUAUGCCCGGGCAGGUCGAAGUCGGAGGAAACUCUGGUGGAGGGCCGCCGCGGUUCUGACGUGCAAAUCGAUCGUCUGACCUCGG